CGCUGGCGGCGUGCUUAACACAUGCAAGUCGAACGGUAAGGCCCUUCGGGGUACACGAGUGGCGAACGGGUGAGUAACACGUGGGUGAUCUGCCCUGCACUUCGGGAUAAGCCUGGGAAACUGGGUCUAAUACCGGAUAGGACCAUGGACUUCACGGUUUGUGGUGGAAAGCUUUUGCGGUGUGGGAUGGGCCCGCGGCCUAUCAGCUUGUUGGUGGGGUAAUGGCCUACCAAGGCGACGACGGGUAGCCGGCCUGAGAGGGUGUCCGGCCACACUGGGACUGAGAUACGGCCCAGACUCCUACGGGAGGCAGCAGUGGGGAAUAUUGCGCAAUGGGCGCAAGCCUGAUGCAGCGACGCCGCGUGAGGGAUGACGGCCUUCGGGUUGUAAACCUCUUUCAAUAGGGACGAAGCGCAAGUGACGGUACCUAUAGAAGAAGCACCGGCCAACUACGUG
rnacentral:rRNA from 1 species